GAUGAACGCUAGCUACAGGCUUAACACAUGCAAGUCGCGGGGCAGCAUGGGGGUUGCUUGCAAUCCCCGAUGGCGACCGGCGCACGGGUGAGUAACACGUAUCCAACCUGCCCUUCACCACGGGAUAACCCGGCGAAAGUCGGACUAAUACCGUAUGUUGUCCAUUGACGGCAUCCGAUUUGGACGAAAGGCUUGGCGGUGAGGGAUGGGGAUGCGUCCGAUUAGCCAGACGGCGGGGUAACGGCCCACCGUGGCUACGAUCGGUAGGGGUUCUGAGAGGAAGGUCCCCCACACUGGAACUGAGACACGGUCCAGACUCCUACGGGAGGCAGCAGUGAGGAAUAUUGGUCAAUGGGCGUAAGCCUGAACCAGCCAAGUAGCGUGCAGGAGGACGGCCCUAUGGGUGGUAAACUGCUUUUAUGCGGGGAUAAAGUGGCCCACGUGUGGGCUUUUGCAGGUACCGCAUGAAUAAGGACCGGCUAAUUCCGUG
rnacentral:rRNA from 1 species